rnacentral:misc_RNA from 1 species
UCUCCUUAAUAUUACCUACGAAAAAUAUUUCGUUGGUAAUUACCGACGAAAAAAAUUCGUAGGUAAAAUUUUUUAGCUUUUUAGAAAUUUUCUUCUCUAUUUUUUUCUUAAUAUUACCUACGAAAAACUUUUAGUAGGUAAUUACGGACGAAAAAUUUUUUUUAGGUAUUGUUUUUAAAAUUUUAUUUUCUAUUUUUUUCUUACUAUUACCUACGAAAAGCGUUUCGUUGGUAAUUACCGACGAAAAAAAUUCGUAGGUAAAAUUUUUUAGCUUUUUAGAAAUUUUCUUCUCUAUUUUUUUCUUAAUAUUACCUACGAAAAACUUUUAGUAGGUAAUUACGGACGAAAAAUUUUUUUUAGGUAUUGUUUUUAAAAUUUUAUUUUCUAUUUUUUUCUUACUAUUACCUACGAAAAGCG